rnacentral:rRNA from 1 species
GAUGAACGCUGGCGGCGUGCCUAAUACAUGCAAGUCGAGCGAACGGACGAGAAGCUUGCUUCUCUGAUGUUAGCGGCGGACGGGUGAGUAACACGUGGAUAACCUACCUAUAAGACUGGGAUAACUUCGGGAAACCGUAGCUAAUACCGGAUAAUAUUUUGAACCGCAUGGUUCAAAAGUGAAAGACGGUCUUGCUGUCACUUAUAGAUGGAUCCGCGCUGCAUUAGCUAGUUGGUAAGGUAACGGCUUACCAAGGCAACGAUGCAUAGCCGACCUGAGAGGGUGAUCGGCCACACUGGAACUGAGACACGGUCCAGACUCCUACGGGAGGCAGCAGUAGGGAAUCUUCCGCAAUGGGCGAAAGCCUGACGGAGCAACGCCGCGUGAGUGAUGAAGGUCUUCGGAUCGUAAAACUCUGUUAUUAGGGAAGAACAUAUGUGUAAGUAACUGUGCACAUCUUGACGGUACCUAAUCAGAAAGCCACAGCUAACUACGU